UAUUAGAUGACUGAAAGUAAGUGUAGGCCUUUUAAUCCUAAAAUAGUAUUUAACAACUACUUCUAAUAA
rnacentral:tRNA from 2 species